rnacentral:rRNA from 1 species
UACGUAGGGUGCGAGCGUUAAUCGGAAUUACUGGGCGUAAAGCGUGCGCAGGCGGUUUUGUAAGCCAGAUGUGAAAUCCCCGGGCUCAACCUGGGAACUGCAUCCGAGACUGCAUUGCUAGAGUAUGGGAGAGGAAAGCGGAAUUUCUGGUGUAGCAGUGAAAUGCGUAGAUAUCAGAAGGAACAUCAGUGGCGAAGGCGGCUUUCUGGACCAAUACUGACGAUCAGGUGCGAAAGCGUGGGGAGCAAACAGG